UACAGAGGUGGCAAGCGUUGUUCGGAUUUACUGGGCGUAAAGGGUCCGUAGGCGGUUUGGAAAGUUGAAUGUGAAAUCCCGCAGCUUAACUGCGGAACUGCAUUCAAAACUUCCAGACUAGAGUAUGAGAGGGGUUAAGGGAAUUCCCGGUGUAAGGGUGAAAUCUGCAGAGAUCGGGAGGAACACCAGUCGCGAAGGCGCUUAACUGGCUCAUUACUGACGCUCAGGGACGAAAGCUAGGGUAGCAAACGGG
rnacentral:rRNA from 1 species